rnacentral:sRNA from 1 species
UUACGAAUGUAACUCCCGACCACUCUUCUAAAUAUACUAAGGCGGAGAACUCUUGUUCAUUGGAGCGCCGUAGUGCGGAGGUUCUUCCCAUCAUGGAAGUCCGAGUUGGGACUGAGCCUUCCGAAUGAUAAUGCUUUGUUUCGUUGGAAAAACCAACGCAAAUCUCAUAUUGACUUUCUAUCGCCCUACUUCUAAGGAUAGAUAGAGAGAGUUACUUUAUGAAAUUAUCUCCCUUCUAAAGCAGCGCAAGUCGGCCCCCCCAGAACAAAGCCCCUACUCCCGAGAGGUAUAAAUGACUCGACUAAAAGGAGAGGUAUUUAUUACUCGAGCACUUGUUGCGAGAGGUCCAACGUAAUUUAUUACUCUUAUAAAAGAGGGAACUCGACUGAAAGGAGAGGUUGUUUACAUACUCGACUAAAAGGAGAGGUCCAAAUGGACUUCUGUGAAUUACAGUGAUCCAGUCUCACGGAUAUGGAGCUUCGCCGGAGAUGGCAGGGCAAAACCUGAUGGACCUUUUUUUUUUUUUUCUCAAGAGGUGAUUUCGAGAAUCAACCAACCGACGAGACUAAUUCGAGGAUGUGUUAAAAGAGAGUCUAACCGCCAAGGCAAGUCCCAUGGAUAAGCCCCAGCCUCCCUCUCGUUUCACUCUCGUUCCUCUCCUUACAGUCGAGCUCCUUUGUUCCUUCGGACCUCUCGCCCAAAUGAAAUGG